ACAGAGCGAGACUCCGUCUCAAAAAAGCAAAACAAAAGAAAACCCUCACUGUGCAUCCUCUGCAGACUGGCCAGAACCACUUGAAAGUCAGUGGUCUCUUAUCAGAAAGGAAUGCUUGUUGAUUGUUGUGCAAAAACUACAAAAGGGAGAGACUGUGUCAGGCAGGCAGUUGAUAUCAAUAGUGGAUAUAGCCUUUCCAAAGGGCUAGUUGGUUUAACUCUUGGGAAAGAAAGCAAAGGAGGAGGUAGAGUGAGGCUCGUCUAACCUCUCCUCCUGUCAUGGCAGGGAACUCAGUUUUCAAGGUUUCUUGAGGUGGUCCUCUUGGACAAGAGGGGAUCUGUUCACUUGGGGGGCUUAGGAUUUCAUUUUUAGGUCUCAGUAUGUAUUAAAAAACCCACAGAGUAUAUAGAGUUUAGUACUAUCUGUGGUUUCAGGCAUCCACUGAGAGUCUAGGAAUGUAUCCCCCUCAGAUAAGGAGAUACUACUGUAAAUAUAAUCAUAUAAUUUAAGUAUAUUCUGUUCAAUUUCUUUCAUAUACCAUAAUGUUUUAAAAUAUUUAGUUGUUUUUUUGUUAGCCUUAUAUAGUAUAUGUAUGCUACAAUUUGUUCAUUUACUAGUUGAUAGUUCAAAUGUUCUGUAUUUUAGUAUCAAGAAUGAUGCUGCUAUGAACAUUUAUGUACAACUCUUUGGAUGAAUAUAUGCUAUCUUUUCUCUUUGCAAGAGUAGCUCAGAGAACUCAAGAAAACUGUUUACUCACAUUAACCCUGUACUGCAAAAGUUACAGAUGAAGAGCCAGAUGAAAGAGAUCCAUGAGGCAAGACAUCGAGUCAUGAAUAUGGAAUGACUUCACCUGACUUCACUUGAAAUUCACUUAAUUUUCAACUCUGUUGGCUAUGAGAAAAGGACAUCCAGGCCUCACACAAAAAUGGAUCAAUGAAUUGAAACUCACCAAAUCACCACCACCAGACAACGGGAUGCUGAGUCUCAUUCAUCAUGAUUGCUUCCUGAAGCCUUCUGAGUUCCUGUUUCCCUACACAUUGUUACAUUUCUUCCCUGCAACAUAAACCCCCAAUUUUAGUCCAUCAAGGUUAUAGAUUUGAGACUGAUCUCCCAUUUCCUUGGCUGCAACACCCAAUUAUAGCCUUCUUGGCAAUAAUUGUUGUCUCAGUGAUUGGCUUUCUUUGUGGCCAGCAGCAGGACCUAGACUGAACACCUGAUUUUCUGGUCUCUCAAAACAGAAUUUUGGCUUUUCCAGAUUGGCAAAUAGCUCUUAGUUAAAUGUGGCUUUCAAGUAUGUGUUUACUCCUUUAUGUUUCAAUUUUCCUUCAAUUUUGGCCUGGAGAGUGUCUCAACUAAGAAGCUAAAAAGGGAAAGAAAAGAAAAGCAGUUAUGUUUUUUUCCCCUCCGGCCUAUACAAACACAUACACACCAAGGUGAGAAAUGCCUUUCUUCAUCAGUACCAUCUGGGUCAAUAUGUAAUGUUUUGUGUGGCUGAGACCUA